UACGUAGGGGGCAAGCGUUGUCCGGAUUUAUUGGGCGUAAAGAGCGUGUAGGCGGCUAGAUAGGUCUCUUGUGAAAACUCGAGGCUCAACCUCGAGACGUCGAUGGAAACCAUCUAGCUAGAGUCCGGAAGAGGAGAGUGGAAUUCCAGGUGUAGCGGUGAAAUGCGCAGAUAUCAGGAAGAACACCCGUGGCGAAGGCGGCUCUCUGGGACGUGACUGACGCUGAGACGCGAAAGCGUGGGGAGCGAACAGG
rnacentral:rRNA from 1 species